CCUACGGGUGGCAGCAGUGAGGAAUAUUGGUCAAUGGUCGGGCGACUGAACCAGCCAAGCCGCGUGAGGGAGGAAGGUACAGAGUAUCGUAAACCUCUUUUGUCAGGGCACAAAGACUGGGACGCGUCCCCGGCUGCGUGUACCUGAAGAAAAAGCAUCGGCUAACUCCGUGCCAGCACCCGCGGUAAUACGGAGGAUGCGAGCGUUCUCCGGAUUUAUGGGGUUUAAAGGGUGCGCAGGCGUUGUGUUAAGUCAGCGGUCAAAGCCCGGGGCUCAACCCGGGCCCGCCGUUGAAACUGGCAGUCUCGAGUUGGAGAGAAGUAUGCGGAAUGCGCGGUGUAGCGGUGAAAUGCAUAGAUAUCGCGCAGAACUCCGAUUGCGAAGGCAGCAUGCCGGCUCCACACUGACGCUGAGGCACGAAAGCGUGGGUAUCGAACAGGAUUAGAUACCCGGGUAGUC
rnacentral:rRNA from 1 species